CGCCGCUCGGCCACCCUGGGAACUCUUCGCACCCCACGCCUCCACGUAGCCCUCCUCGCUCGUCACCUCCGAUCUCAUUCUGCGUCUCUGGGUACCCACGGCGACCGGGAAUCCGAGAUCGUCCUCCACCCCUAGGGGCUCCACUCCGACGGACGAAUCUCUCCCAGGACGAGGGUACCCGAUACCCCGAGGAAGGGAGGAACGGAAAACCGCGGGAAUACGUUCGCCUCGGUGAAGUGGUGUUCGAGAUCCUAGGGGAGAAGAAUAUCUUCUAUCCGGAUUCUGGCGCGCCGAGGUAUUCCGCCCCGCGGGAAGAGAAAAAUAAAAAGGAAGAAAAAGGAAAACCUCUCUCGAAUGGUUUGCUCCACUUCGCCACGUGAAAAUUCGAGCCGCCCUUCGAGAGCUCUCGUCGAAUCCGGGGAGGAAAUUAACGAACGAGAUGAUAUCCCUAGCUUCGAUCCUGAU